AUGGCGACCGGCGCACGGGUGAGUAACACGUAUCCAACCUGCCGAUAACUCCGGAAUAGCCUUUCGAAAGAAAGAUUAAUACCGGAUGGCAUACGAAUAUCGCAUGAUAUUUUUAUUUAAAGAAUUUCGGUUAUCGAUGGGGAUGCGUUCCAUUAGUUUGUUGGCGGGGUAACGGCCCACCAAGACUACGAUGGAUAGGGGUUCUGAGAGGAAGGUCCCCCACAUUGGAACUGAGACACGGUCCAAACUCCUACGGGAGGCAGCAUG
rnacentral:rRNA from 1 species